CAAGCGCCAUUUUAACAUCUUUUCAGUGUGAUCCUAGAAAUGUAAUGAAUAAUGGAAUUAAAACUUUAUAAUUUCAGAAGUAUGGACCGGUAUAAAUCUGAUAAAAAAAAUGAAUUGUUUCGGAGAGCUGUAAUGGAGUUUAUGUCAGAAAAAUCCAGACCUUAGAAACUUCUUGACUGCGUAGUUCUCGUAGAGCAUGCACUCCACGUCGUCUGUGGAAGGCUCUGGUUGUCUUCAGUUGGAGAGAGAGAGUGGAGAGGCUUCCUUCAUCAUCACCGGAACUGGAACCCUCACUUCAGUUGUGUUAAACUUCAGUUAUUUCAGCUUCAAGAUUUUUGUGUAAAUAAGUUCAUGUAAACAAAAAUGGGAGCAGAAGAGAUACUUAUUAAAAGAGAAAAUGAAGACAGUGUAACUUUAGACAAAGAGGAAUUUGAUAUUUUGAAGGUAAAGCAUGGAUGUUCAUUCAUGAAAGUUUAGUAUCUCAAAUUCACUACAAAGAGAUCCAAUCCUAGAAAAGGGUCAUUAAAAUGCCAAUCUAUUGAUCUGUAUUUUUACUUUAAAAGGUAAUAAGUAGAAGAACUUAUAUUUACUAAAGGUCUGAACUUUGAUCAAGAAUCAUCCUUUCAAGGGGUGUCUGGUUGGCUCAGUAGGUUAAGCGUCCAACUCUUGAUUUCAUCUCAGGUCAUGAUCUCAUGAUUCAUGGGAUCCAGCCCUGUGUUGGGCUCUGCACUGAUUGAGCAAAGCCUGCUUAGGAUUCUUUCUCUCUCU